AAGACAAAUAAAGGAGAGGACUACUUGUGGCCAAUUUCAUGGCCUCUCAUGGCCAUGCCCGCGCCACUUCACUCUUCCCCAUCCUGAAGUGCGGCUGCUGCUUUUGGGGAUCCGCUCGGAGAGGACUACUUCUGGCCAAUUUCUUUCUCCACCAGGUGAGGACUAUUCCCCUGGCCGCUUCAGAUCCCCACCAGGUUUACAACACGAGAUUCCUGACCAGAAGGGGAACAAGGCGGAGUGGCAUGGUGACCAGUUCCAGAUGUGCAUCUGUUCUCGUGAAACUAAGGACAAUAAGAUCCAGGUAGAACACCACUUCUAGGGGAUGCUCUUGUUGAUGCCAGGACAGUCUGUUUUGCAUUUAGGAAUGUUGGGGAGGAAUACUACAUCAAGAAGAACGAUCGGGUAGAGUUUAUCGCAAUACUUGGACUAUUUGGACUGCUUGUCAGUACAAUUCGGAUGUAUCCUCUACACAGUUCAUGAUUAAUAGCAGACCCACGGAGGAAAAUUGUCAUAAUUCAUUGAUAUUGCCAUCUAUAGAUUUGAUCUUGUUAUUGCCUAGUUAAAAGAUCACUACCUUUUUUCUGGAACAAAAAUGUCUUGACAAUACUCUCCUGGAACAAAUAUUCAUGUGACCA